UAUUUAAAGAAUUCGUGCUUAGUUUGCAAUAGAAUACCCUAUAAAGAAGGCUGUGUAUUUUGACGACAAAACCUUUAAAGGUGUGCCUCUCACUCACGAUUUGGCUCUAGAGUGUUAAAUUAUGGUAACUAGUCCGAAAUAGAAGGUUUAGAUGGCGAAAGUGAUGUUGCUUUUGACGUUCAAAUGUUUAAAAAUAACACCGAUGACAAGAAUAUUGAAGAAACUGUAUUAGAUGAAGAACCUGUAUUGGAUGAAGAACCUGUUCCUUCAACGAGCUCUUCUUCAGCAAAGAGGCAAUGGAAAGACAUGACAUUU
rnacentral:lncRNA from 1 species